rnacentral:rRNA from 1 species
AUUGAACGCUGGCGGCAGGCUUAACACAUGCAAGUCGAGCGGGGGAAGGUAGCUUGCUACCGGACCUAGCGGCGGACGGGUGAGUAAUGCUUAGGAAUCUGCCUAUUAGUGGGGGACAACAUCUCGAAAGGGAUGCUAAUACCGCAUACGUCCUACGGGAGAAAGCAGGGGAUCUUCGGACCUUGCGCUAAUAGAUGAGCCUAAGUCGGAUUAGCGAGGUGGUGGGGUAAAGGCCUACCAAGGCGACGAUCUGUAGCGGGUCUGAGAGGAUGAUCCGCCACACUGGGACUGGGACACGGCCCAGACUCCUACGGGAGGCAGCAGUGGGGAAUAUUGGACAAUGGGGGGAACCCUGAUCCAGCCAUGCCGCGUGUGUGAAGAAGGCCUUAUGGUUGUAAAGCACUUUAAGCGAGGAGGAGGCUACUCUAGUUAAUACCUAGGGAUAGUGGACGUUACUCGCAGAAUAAGCACCGGCUAACUCUGUGCCAGCCGCCGCAGUAA